rnacentral:lncRNA from 1 species
GUUUUCACCUGGAACCUGGAGGAUGAGCAAUGACAUCUCUCCACCCUGAGCUCAGCCCCGGCAUCCACCUCCUGGGCUCAUGAGCAGUGCAGUGGUGCCUCCUAGUGGUCUCUGCUCUUCCUUUUCCAGAUCAAGCACAAACCUGAGAUCCAACUGUCCCUCUUAUGCGCCUGGGUUUCUUCACUGGACACCAGUAUGAGUCAACUUUCCUGUAAAGCAGAACAAGCACGAGAUUGGACCAUGUUAGAGGAGGAAUGGUGUCAUCUCCACUUCUGGAGAGAUCACUGUCCCCGUGUUUGGGGGAAGGACCAAGCCUCACUCCCAUGCAGAGAAGAAGCUCUGACUGUAACUGCACCUGUGGAGAGGUGAGGACCUGUCCCCUCUACACCGAUGGCCAGAGCCUCCAGAGUGGGGCCAGGCUUUUCCCUCAGCUGUGUCCUGUCAGGUUUAUCUAGGCCUCAAAGAAUAGACCCUGGACAUUGCCUCUGGCAAUGUGAGCUGGACACACACCCAGAUGUAAGGUAGCCCUGCCAAGUAUCCUGGGGUUGCCAGUAGUUCUGGGUGCUCAGUGUCUGGAGCGGAGGGUGGGAAGGAGGCUUGAUGCAGAACAAGAACCAUAUGUCACAUACUAUUUUAUUCUUUAUUAGUGUUUUUGUCAUAAAAAACCCCACGGGUACCAUAAAAGAUAAAAGAUCUAAAAAUGGUGCCCUUUAAUCAAAAGUAAACACCCUUUAACCAUCAGAGAGAGGGAGAAGUUUGGCAGCUGACCUAGAAGCCCCAUCAACUGCCCCAGCUCAAUGAUAAACUCUUCUCUUCUUCAAAUAAAAGCACAUCCUGGCUUACAUGGCCAUCACUUCUUUGUACAAUUUUAUAUUUUUAUCAUCUAAAGUUAUAGUUUAGUUUUACCUUUAAGAGUAUAUUUUUAUCCUCAUUUAUUCCAUAGAUUCCUGCUUGAAAUUUAUAUUGUCUGGUAGUUUCCUGUCCUUUGCAUUUUGCAGAUUGCACCCCAAGGUGUGGUUUAAUGUAUCUCUAUGACCUGUAUUUUCUGUAAAUUGGUAGUUUGUUAUAGAGGUUUGCGUCUAUUCAGGGUUUUUUUUUUUUUUUUUUUUUUUGCCAUGAGGAUUGAUGGUACUAUAUCAUGUUUUUCAUCAAGAGGAAGAAUUCAAUACUAGUUAUUUCUUUUUUGUGAUGUUAAUUGCCAUUGCUGUUCAGUGGCUAAAUCUGUUAAUUCAUUACAAAUUGCAAAAGUCUCAGUCUUUCAUUUCUUUUCAUAUACUAGCUGCAUAAUUUCUAAAAUAAAAGAUUUACCCUCUUCCACCAGUUAUCUAUUCAGUAGAAACUUGUUUUUUGAGAGACUAAACCAAGUUUCUAAUCACCUAUGACCCAGCAAUUCCACUUUUUGUUAUAUACCAAUAGAAAUGCAUGCAUUUGUGUCCCAAAAUAUAUGAAAAUAUUAUUUAUAGCAGCACGAUUUGUAGACUCUGAAUACAACACAAAUGUCUAUCAACAGUGGAGAGACAAGAAGUGUGAGCUAUUUAUAAAGCUGAGCACCUGACUGCCACGGGAGUGAUAGUGACCACACACAGCAAGACCUGGGACAUGGCAGUGACUGUGUCCAGAACUGACAGAACUAAUCUAUCAUAUUAGAAAUCAAGAAAGUGUCUGCUCUAGGGUUGGGGAGGGUGAUUUAUGACCAAGUAGAACCCAAUGGUGUUUCCUGGAGGCUGGAAAUGCUAUUCCUUGAUGUGGCUGCUAUUUACCUGAGUGUUCACUUUGUGAAAAUCCACGGCCCACUUAUGGUUUGUCCACCUUUCUCCAUGCAUGUUGUCCUUCAUUCAAGUAUACAUUUCUGAUGUUUUGAAACAAUUCUCUCUAAGCUAAUAUAGAAUCUCCAUUACUGAAAGUCCUUAGAAAUGCUGCAUUGGAAAAAAUUAGUCCAAUUAUUAAAAAUCUAUGAAAUAAAUGCUGUGACUCAGACAUUAAGAGGAGAAUCUACAACAAGAGCAGUAGGCUUGGGAGCUAACGCAAGAACAGCUUUGGAAAUGGCUGUUGAGCCAGGAACUAGGAAUCAAAACCCAAAAAGGCCCAUGCAAGGUGGAGGGUGUGAAAUGAUGCCCCAGUAGUGCAUGAAUGAAUGAGUCAUGGGCAGUGGCUCAUGGGUUGCUUGGUCAGUCAGGAACUUGAGCAAAAUAAAGUUGGAAAACUGGGGGAUGGAAGAGAGAGGUAUGCACAGACCUCUUGACAUGGGCAGAGCUUCAGAAGAUGGUGGUUGCAGGUUUCCCCAAAUAGAGAACAUCAAUAAAAAGGUAGAAAUUUUACAAAGAGACCAGAUAAAAAGUUUGGAGCUGAAAAGUGCAAUAACUGAAAUGAAAAAUUCACUAGAGGGGCUCCAGAGCAAAUUUCACCAUGCAGAAUGGAGAAUCAGCAAGCUUGAAGAUAAGACAAUUGAAAUUCUCUAGUUCAGUAGCAGAAAGAAAAAAAAUUAUGAAGAAAAAUAAACAGAACUUUAAAGAUCUGUGAGACAACAUCAAGCACAUGCACUUUGGGAGUCCUCAAAGAAAGGAGAGAGAGAAAGGAGAAGAAUGACUAUUUAAAGAAUAACUCCAAACCUUCCAAAUUUGAUGAAAAACAUUAUUCAUCCAACAAACUUGACAAAUUUUAAGCAGCAAAAAAAAUUAAAUUUAAAGAGGUCCACACCAAGAGAACAUUAUAAUCAACCUGUCAAAAGCCAAUGACAAACAGAGCAUAUUGAAAUGAAUAACAGAGAAGGAACUUUUCAGGUUCAAUGGAUCCUCAAUAAGAUUGCAGCCCAGUUUUCUUCAGAAACCAUAGAGUUCAGAAGGCAUUGGAAUGUUGACAAAUUUAGAGGUCAGAAAAAAAAAGACUGUCAUGCAGGAAUUGUGUGUCUGGAAAAACUCUCCUUCAG